rnacentral:lncRNA from 1 species
GUGCCUGGCAGGGUCUACAUUUUUAUCAGUUCUGGAAGAGCCAGGAUUUUGCCUUUAUUAGGUUUGCCAUUUCACCCGGUAGAAGGUGGAGAACUAAAUCCCAGGAGCUUUGGGGGUCCCUUCCUGCUCUGACUUUGGGUGGUUUUGCAAGGUUCACUCCCAGAGAAAGGGAAAGGUCCCAUUAUCACAUGGUGGUGUGAAUCGGAAUAAGACAACAGCAAAAAACAACUCCCACCAUCCCCCAACUUUUACUAUCUCUGGGGCCUCUUCUGAAUCUCUCUGCAGAGAGAGAUCAGGGAUGCCCCGAAAUUGAGAUUGUGGUCGAGGACUGAGACCAAGUUAUUCACAACAUGGUUAUAUAAUGGAUGCUCAGUCAUAUCAGGACUCAGAAGAUGUGAAGGGCCCCGCCCUGCAAGCUGUUUGAAGGUCAUGAUGGCUUCGCAGUGAUGGGAAACAAGGCCAGUGUCUCUGUUUGUGGGUUCCCUGCACCAAGGGUAUAAUUCACUGGGGCUCUUCCCACCAUGGCCUGGCCAUGUCUCCACCCACCCACCCACCACCUGACUCCUGGAGAAUGGGGGGGAAACUUUUAUACUUAAUUUUUUUUUGUCUUCUCCUCUUUUUCUGUGUUUUCUUCAAAUUUGUUAUAAGGGGGCAGCUUGGCAGAGGAAAUGUGGUAGUGGCCUGAGGCCUUGGGGCUGAAAGAGCCCGGGGUCUGAAAUCAUCAGAAUUGUCUCCAGAUGAAUUGAAACUGAGAUGGAAAGCAGCAUAUGACUCAUCGUGGCUCCAGGAUAGGCCAUAUCACUUCCUGGAAAGUUCUGUCCAUUCCCAUGCUCCCAUGGACAACUGAGAGUGAGGACAUAAGUGAGUGUUAUGAUUAUGUGCUCUUCUAGCAAUUAUCCUUUAAUGGUAUAUAGAACCCCAAAUCCCAGGCUCCAUGAGCAGCAGAGCAGCAGAGUGGCACAGCAGAGGAGAGAAGAAGCAUCUGAACGUGGUGAGGAGUUUGGCUAUGGACAGUCAGAAAGGAGUUCAUCCUGGGACGGCUGAACUCCAGGGGAAGAUUAUCUUCCCAUUGCAUCCCCUUUCCAGCUCCCUAUGCCACUGAAAGCCACCCUGUCACUCAAUAAAAA